rnacentral:rRNA from 1 species
UACGUAGGGUGCGAGCGUUAAUCGGAAUUACUGGGCGUAAAGCGUGCGUAGGCGGUUCGUUAAGUUCGUUGUGAAAGCCCCGGGCUCAACCUGGGAAUGGCAAUGGAAACUGGCGGGCUGGAGUAUGGCAGAGGGGGGUGGAAUUCCGCGUGUAGCAGUGAAAUGUGUAGAGAUGCGGAGGAACACCGAUGGCGAAGGCAGCCCCCUGGGCCAAUACUGACGCUCAGGCACGAAAGCGUGGGGAGCAAACAGG